GUGCACGCUGGCGGUAGGCCUCACACCUGCAAGUCGAACGGCAGCACAGUAAGAGCUUGCUCUUACGGGUGGCGAGUGGCGGACGGGUGAGGAAUACAUCGGAAUCUACUUUUUCGUGGGGGAUAACGUAGGGAAACUUACGCUAAUACCGCAUACGACCUACGGGUGAAAGCAGGGGAUCUUCGGACCUUGCGCGAUUGAAUGAGCCGAUGUCGGAUUAGCUAGUUGGCGGGGUAAAGGCCCACCAAGGCGACGAUCCGUAGCUGGUCUGAGAGGAUGAUCAGCCACACUGGAACUGAGACACGGUCCAGACUCCUACGGGAGGCAGCAGUGGGGAAUAUUGGACAAUGGGCGCAAGCCUGAUCCAGCCAUACCGCGUGGGUGAAGAAGGCCUUCGGGUUGUAAAGCCCUUUUGUUGGGAAAGAAAAGCAGCAGGUUAAUACCCCGCUGUUCUGACGGUACCCAAAGAAUAAGCACCGGCUAACUUCGUG
rnacentral:rRNA from 1 species